ensembl:misc_RNA Y_RNA Y RNA
GGCUGGUCUGAUAGUAGUGGGUUAUCAGAAAUGAACAUUAGUGUCACUAACGUUGGUGGUAUACAAUCUCCCACUGCUAAAUCUGAUUGACUUUUA